AUUCUCUCUUUAAAAUUGCUAGAUCAAAUGCUCUGGGCAGGCUCCAUGCAUUGUACAACAUGUUUUUAUGUGAGCAGGCGGCUCAAUAGCAAGGCAGCAUCGUUUGCCCUCAUCUGCCAGCUUUUGUCUUUGAGUGGAAGUGUGGGGCCUGGUGAGAGAUUGAUCGAUUGCAGGAGUGCUGUUCCCUCUGAGACAUCAAGUUGCUGAUGACUUGGACAUUGUCCUUGUGCUGUGAUACAGUAUCAGGAGCAAUCUGGAGACAAAGGCACA
rnacentral:lncRNA from 12 species